GCCGCGGUGGCACAACCUGGUACGCGCUAGAAUGCCUCUGGCAUCCUGCGUGCAGGAUACUGCGCUAGAUUGCUAAUCUAGUGUCCGAAAGGAUUUCCGAGUUCAAAUCUCGGCCGCGGCG
rnacentral:tRNA from 1 species